rnacentral:rRNA from 1 species
UUAAGCGACUAAGCGUACACGGUGGAUGCCCUGGCAGUCAGAGGCGAUGAAGGACGUGCUAAUCUGCGAUAAGCGUCGGUAAGGUGAUAUGAACCGUUAUAACCGGCGAUUUCCGAAUGGGGAAACCCAGUGUGAUUCGUCACACUAUCAUUAACUGAAUCCAUAGGUUAAUGAGGCGAACCGGGGGAACUGAAACAUCUAAGUACCCCGAGGAAAAGAAAUCAACCGAGAUUCCCCCAGUAGCGGCGAGCGAACGGGGAGCAGCCCAGAGCCUGAAUCAGUGUGUGUGUUAGUGGAAGCGUCUGGAAAGGCGCGCGAUACAGGGUGACAGCCCCGUACACAAAAAUGCACAUGCUGUGAGCUCGAUGAGUAGGGCGGGACACGUGGUAUCCUGUCUGAAUAUGGGGGGACCAUCCUCCAAGGCUAAAUACUCCUGACUGACCGAUAGUGAACCAGUACCGUGAGGGAAAGGCGAAAAGAACCCCGGCGAGGGGAGUGAAAAAGAACCUGAAACCGUGUACGUACAAGCAGUGGGAGCACAGAGCAAUCUGUGUGACUGCGUACCUUUUGUAUAAUGGGUCAGCGACUUAUAUUCUGUAGCAAGGUUAACCGAAUAGGGGAGCCGAAGGGAAACCGAGUCUUAACUGGGCGUUAAGUUGCAGGGUAUAGACCCGAAACCCGGUGAUCUAGCCAUGGGCAGGUUGAAGGUUGGGUAACACUAACUGGAGGACCGAACCGACUAAUGUUGAAAAAUUAGCGGAUGACUUGUGGCUGGGGGUGAAAGGCCAAUCAAACCGGGAGAUAGCUGGUUCUCCCCGAAAGCUAUUUAGGUAGCGCCUCGUGAAUUCAUCUCCGGGGGUAGAGCACUGUUUCGGCAAGGGGGUCAUCCCGACUUACCAACCCGAUGCAAACUGCGAAUACCGGAGAAUGUUAUCACGGGAGACACACGGCGGGUGCUAACGUCCGUCGUGAAGAGGGAAACAACCCAGACCGCCAGCUAAGGUCCCAAAGUCAUGGUUAAGUGGGAAACGAUGUGGGAAGGCCCAGACAGCCAGGAUGUUGGCUUAGAAGCAGCCAUCAUUUAAAGAAAGCGUAAUAGCUCACUGGUCGAGUCGGCCUGCGCGGAAGAUGUAACGGGGCUAAACCAUGCACCGAAGCUGCGGCAGCGACGCUUAUGCGUUGUUGGGUAGGGGAGCGUUCUGUAAGCCUGUGAAGGUGUACUGUGAGGUAUGCUGGAGGUAUCAGAAGUGCGAAUGCUGACAUAAGUAACGAUAAAGCGGGUGAAAAGCCCGCUCGCCGGAAGACCAAGGGUUCCUGUCCAACGUUAAUCGGGGCAGGGUGAGUCGACCCCUAAGGCGAGGCCGAAAGGCGUAGUCGAUGGGAAACAGGUUAAUAUUCCUGUACUUGGUGUUACUGCGAAGGGGGGACGGAGAAGGCUAUGUUGGCCGGGCGACGGUUGUCCCGGUUUAAGCGUGUAGGCUGGUUUUCCAGGCAAAUCCGGAAAAUCAAGGCUGAGGCGUGAUGACGAGGCACUACGGUGCUGAAGCAACAAAUGCCCUGCUUCCAGGAAAAGCCUCUAAGCAUCAGGUAACAUCAAAUCGUACCCCAAACCGACACAGGUGGUCAGGUAGAGAAUACCAAGGCGCUUGAGAGAACUCGGGUGAAGGAACUAGGCAAAAUGGUGCCGUAACUUCGGGAGAAGGCACGCUGAUAUGUAGGUGAAGCGACUUGCUCGUGGAGCUGAAAUCAGUCGAAGAUACCAGCUGGCUGCAACUGUUUAUUAAAAACACAGCACUGUGCAAACACGAAAGUGGACGUAUACGGUGUGACGCCUGCCCGGUGCCGGAAGGUUAAUUGAUGGGGUCAGCGCAAGCGAAGCUCUUGAUCGAAGCCCCGGUAAACGGCGGCCGUAACUAUAACGGUCCUAAGGUAGCGAAAUUCCUUGUCGGGUAAGUUCCGACCUGCACGAAUGGCGUAAUGAUGGCCAGGCUGUCUCCACCCGAGACUCAGUGAAAUUGAACUCGCUGUGAAGAUGCAGUGUACCCGCGGCAAGACGGAAAGACCCCGUGAACCUUUACUAUAGCUUGACACUGAACAUUGAGCCUUGAUGUGUAGGAUAGGUGGGAGGCUUUGAAGUGUGGACGCCAGUCUGCAUGGAGCCGACCUUGAAAUACCACCCUUUAAUGUUUGAUGUUCUAACGUGACCCGUAAUCCGGGUUGCGGACAGUGUCUGGUGGGUAGUUUGACUGGGGCGGUCUCCUCCUAAAGAGUAACGGAGGAGCACGAAGGUUGGCUAAUCCUGGUCGGACAUCAGGAGGUUAGUGCAAUGGCAUAAGCCAGCUUGACUGCGAGCGUGACGGCGCGAGCAGGUGCGAAAGCAGGUCAUAGUGAUCCGGUGGUUCUGAAUGGAAGGGCCAUCGCUCAACGGAUAAAAGGUACUCCGGGGAUAACAGGCUGAUACCGCCCAAGAGUUCAUAUCGACGGCGGUGUUUGGCACCUCGAUGUCGGCUCAUCACAUCCUGGGGCUGAAGUAGGUCCCAAGGGUAUGGCUGUUCGCCAUUUAAAGUGGUACGCGAGCUGGGUUUAGAACGUCGUGAGACAGUUCGGUCCCUAUCUGCCGUGGGCGCUGGAGAACUGAGGGGGGCUGCUCCUAGUACGAGAGGACCGGAGUGGACGCAUCACUGGUGUUCGGGUUGUCAUGCCAAUGGCACUGCCCGGUAGCUAAAUGCGGAAGAGAUAAGUGCUGAAAGCAUCUAAGCACGAAACUUGCCCCGAGAUGAGUUCUCCCUGACUCCUUGAGAGUCCUGAAGGAACGUUGAAGACGACGACGUUGAUAGGCCGGGUGUGUAAGCGCAGCGAUGCGUUGAGCUAACCGGUACUAAUGAACCGUGAGGCUUAACCU